rnacentral:rRNA from 1 species
AGGAUCCCCAAGCCUCAAAGAUGAGAUAAAACCUUACACUCUCGAGAGCUUGGACGGUGAACCAUCCAUAUGGCAACCAACACCCUGCCCUCUCGCUCCCUCCUCGCUGCUCCGGCCCAGCACCCUGGUCUACGGCUCGGGACCUCUCUCCGCCUCUCCCUCUCCCUCUCUCACCACAAUCAACCUGCCGACGACCCUGAGCGCCGCCGAGCUCCGGGCGGCUCUCAUCCGGCCUUCUCGCGCGGUAACCGUGCCAAGAAGAUCCCCAUCCCGACCACUGGCGAGCCCGCCGCCGGCAUCCGGGUCACCGACCGGGGCCUCGCCUACCACCUCGAGGGGGCGCCGUUUGAGUUCCAGUACAGCUACACGGAGGCCCCACGAGCACGCCCCGUCGCGCUCCGGGAGGCUCCAUUCCUGCCGUUCGGUCCCGAGGCCACGCCGCGCCCGUGGACCGGGAGGAAGCCUUUCCCCAAGAGCCGCAAGGAGCUGCCUGAGUUCGACUCUUUCGUGCUACCGCCGCAUGGCAAGAAAGGGGUGAAGCCCGUGCAGUCGCCAGGGCCAUUCCUCGCUGGGAUGGAGCCAAGGUACCAAGCGGCGUCCAGGGAGGAGGUCCUCGGGGAACCGCUCACCAGAGACGAGGUCGCCGUGCUCGUCAAGGGAAACCUCAAGGCGAAACGGCAGCUCAAUAUGGGCAGGGAUGGUUUAACACACAAUAUGUUGGAGAACAUUCAUGCACACUGGAAGAGGAAGAGAGUUUGCAAGAUAAAAUGCAAAGGUGUAUGUACAGUUGACAUGGAUAAUGUCUGCCAACAACUCGAGGAAAAAGUUGGAGGAAAAGUAAUUCACCGUCAAGGGGGUGUUAUAUUUCUCUUUCGUGGCAGAAACUAUAAUUACAGGACUCGUCCAGUUUUUCCACUUAUGCUCUGGAGACCUGCAGCACCGAUGUACCCUCGCCUGGUCAAAAUGGUGCCGGAUGGCUUAACUUCAGACGAGGCAACACAAAUGCGCAAGAGAGGGCAUCAAUUAACACCAAUUUGCAAACUUGGAAAAAAUGGUGUUUAUGCUAACCUUGUGAAGGAAGUUAGAGAAGCAUUUGAGGCAUGUGAUCUUGUCCGAGUUGAUUGCUCAAGUCUAAACAAAAGUGAUUGCAGAAAAAUUGGAGCUAAACUGAAGGAUCUAGUUCCGUGUAUCUUGCUGUCUUUUGAGUUUGAACAUAUACUGAUGUGGAGAGGAAAUGAUUGGAGAUCAUCUCUUCCUCUGCCAGAAGUUGUAAGUGAUCAACAUCCGUUCUAUGGUGAAGAAAAAAUGAAUAAAAUGGAAAAUGAUUCAGCAACUGUUCCGACUUCUAUCGAGGUGGUCAAUAAUGCAGCAUCUGUUUACAACAGCAUCUUGAGUGAACGUGAACGUUUUCUGGAAGAUCCCUUGAAUCCUAGUCUUGCUAAUGAUAUGGUGCUAAGUUCUCCAUUUACAGUCCCUGGAUUGUGUAAUUCUAAGAGUGUAGCUGUAACUGAAAUCUCAGUUGUUGGUCCAUUACAACUUUCUACUUCAGAUACAGCGAUUCCAGCUCUUACGUCACAGUUUUAUGGCCGAGGUAUCCUAUCAGGCAACAGUGAAAAUGGAGAUCCAGUUCAAAGGUCUCCUGUUGACUCUGGGAAGUCUGAACAAUAUCCAGAUGUGGUAGAAACUUCCAUUUGUCCGACGAGCAGGAGUGAUGUGGUCAGCAAAUUAGAGACUACGAGGAAAAUUAGUAAAUAUUUGAAUGGACAUGAUGGUGUAAAGAGUUAUUCAACCAUGUUAUCCUGUGUGGAGGGAAUGUUACUUCUUUUAGAACAGGCCACAUUAACUGGAAGGGCAAAUGUCUUGGAUGAAAAUGAGUUUGUUGAUGCUGAUGUGAUUUAUCAAAAGUCUGUUGCCUUUGCAAAGACAGCUCCACGAGGUCCACUUUUCAAAAGUGCACGAAGGAAGUCCGGCCUUCGGAAAAGCAUGCCAGAUAAGAGCGUAAGAGUAAAGAAGCAUUCUAUAGAACAUGAAGAACCUAGUGAUGUUGAAAGGAAAUAUGAUGUCGACAGACGAUUGGGAAAGCAGAGAAAUGAUCUUGCACAAGAGUUUCUAUCGGAUGUGGUUCCACGAGGUACACUGAGAGUGGAUGAACUAGCGAAGUUACUUGCUUAGAUAUGGCUGCUCUUUUAGUAACAAUGACGGCAUGCAAAAUAUGCAUACCCUGUACUUUGACAUGGUCAAUGGGUGCAAUGGAGCAUGUAUGUCAUGCCGUGUUAGUCCAGGGCAGGAUAGCGGCUGGAGGGAGGAGGAAGAUGAACCAGCAGCCUUGGAUUGCGUUGAAUUUCAAUGGCAAAACCGAAGGAAACUGAACUUGCCCCUCAAUUUUUAGACUCAAGAAUUGUUUAGAAGUACUCAGUCAAUUGCGUUGGAUUUCGUUGGAUUGCGUUGGAUUGUAAUGGCAAAAUCGAAGGAAACUGAUUUUUGUAUUCUUCACUGGCGACAUUUAGGCGGAGGGUGUGAUGUUGGUGAAAAUAAAAUUACCCUUGUUCUCUUCCCACUGUGACGGUGCCUUAUCGGGUAGCGGUAGGGAGCCAGAGAUGUCCACGUAUUUGAUCUUUCGGAAUUUCGGUUUUCGUUCUUGUAGAUGAUUCCAUGCAGAUUUGACCAGUUAUUGUUAGUGUUUGGUGCUUUUGUUCCUUUGAUCUCUUUUGGCUUCGGUGCACUUCUCUGACAUUUUGGUGAAGAAUUUUGUUGGCGCCAGUUCUCUCUCAAUUGUGUUUCAUGGCGACAUUGCCAGCAACUCGAGCUACAGUUCGAAAUGGAGGAGGAGGAAGGGGAUCGACAACUCGUCCACGCUACGUGUCAGGGACCUUCCCUAGCCCAUACGUGUACUUGGGCUGGCCCUUGGAUAUCACAUGGGCUGGGCCUGGCCUGCCACCAUCGACUGCUACGAGCUACAAAUAGCAGGAGUGGAAGCAACGGAGAAUCCAUCCACGUAGGAUCACGAACCCGGCGGCGGCGGCUCUCUGUUCUUCUACGUCCGCCCCCCUCCUCUACAUUGGUGUAUCCAUGUCUCUUAUAAUCACGGCUAAGACAAGAAUUCUUGUGUGAGUGCU